GACGAACGCUGGCGGCGUGCUUAACACAUGCAAGUCGAACGGAAAGGCCCUGCUUUUGUGGGGUGCUCGAGUGGCGAACGGGUGAGUAACACGUGAGUAACCUGCCCUUGACUUUGGGAUAACUUCAGGAAACUGGGGCUAAUACCGGAUAGGAGCUCCUGCUGCAUGGUGGGGGUUGGAAAGUUUCGGCGGUUGGGGAUGGACUCGCGGCUUAUCAGCUUGUUGGUGGGUAGUGGCUUACCAAGGCUUUGACGGGUAGCCGGCCUGAGAGGGUGACCGGCCACAUUGGGACUGAGAUACGGCCCAGACUCCUACGGGAGGCAGCAGUGGGGAAUAUUGCACAAUGGGCGGAAGCCUGAUGCAGCAACGCCGCGUGCGGGAUGACGGCCUUCGGGUUGUAAACCGCUUUCGCUUGUGACGAAGCGUGAGUGACGGUAAUGGGUAAAGAAGCACCGGCUAACUACGUG
rnacentral:rRNA from 1 species